rnacentral:tRNA from 1 species
GGGCGUGUAGCUCAGCUUGGUUUAGAGCGCUUGACUGUGGAUCAAGAGGUCACGGGUUCGAAUCCCGCCACGCCCC